rnacentral:rRNA from 1 species
AUUGAACGCUGGCGGCAGGCCUAACACAUGCAAGUCGAACGAGUGGCGGACGGGUGAGUAAUGUCUGGGAAACUGCCCGAUGGAGGGGGAUCACUCCUGUAAACGGUAGCUAAUACCGCAUCCCAUCGGCUGUGCCCAGAUGGGAUUAGCUAGUAGGUGGGGUAAUGGCUAACCUAGGCGAAGAUCCCUAGCUGGUCUGAGAGGAUGACCAGCCACACUGGAACUGAGACACGGUCCAGACUCCUACGGGAGGCAGCAGUGGGGAAUAUUGCACAAUGGGCGAAAGCCUGAUCCAGCCAUGCCGCGUGUGUGAAGAAGGUCUUCGGAUUGUAAAGCACUUUAAGUUGGGAGGCGUUACCAACAGAAUAAGCACCGGCUAACUUCGUGCCAGCAGCCGCGGUAAUAC